AGUGAACGCUGGCGGUAGGCCUAACACAUGCAAGUCGAACGGCAGCACAGGAGAGCUUGCUCUCUGGGUGGCGAGUGGCGGACGGGUGAGGAAUACAUCGGAAUCUACUCUGUCGUGGGGGAUAACGUAGGGAAACUUACGCUAAUACCGCAUACGACCUACGGGUGAGAGCAGGGGACCUUCGGGCCUCGCGCGAUUGAAUGAGCCGAUGUCGGAUUAGCUAGUUGGCGGGGUAAAGGCCCACCAAGGAGACGAUCCGUAGCUGGUCUGAGAGGAUGAUCAGCCACACUGGAACUGAGACACGGUCCAGACUCCUACGGGAGGCAGCAGUGGGGAAUAUUGGACAAUGGGCGCAAGCCUGAUCCAGCCAUACCGCGUGGGUGAAGAAGGCCUUCGGGUUGUAAAGCCCUUUUGUUGGGAAAGAAAUCCAGCUGGCUAAUACCCGGUUGGGAUGACGGUACCCAAAGAAUAAGCACCGGCUAACUUCGUGCCAGCAGCCGCGGUAA
rnacentral:rRNA from 1 species